GACAGAGGGUGCAAACGUUGUUCGGAAUUACUGGGCGUAAAGCGCGUGUAGGCAGCCCCGCAAGUCGGAUGUGAAAGCCCUGGGCUCAACCUAGGAAGUGCAUUCGAAACUGCGGGGCUGGAGUCCUGGAGAGGAAGGCGGAAUUCUCGGUGUAGAGGUGAAAUUCGUAGAUAUCGAGAGGAACACCGGUGGCGAAGGCGGCCUUCUGGACAGUGACUGACGCUGAGACGCGAAAGCGUGGGGAGCAAACAGG
rnacentral:rRNA from 1 species